UCGGGGUAGGACACUAGUCUUCCACAUCUACUUGAUAGGGAAUGUAAAUCAUCAUCUCCAUACUUGUACAACUUCUUGUAGAGGGAUUUAACUGAGAAGGACUCGUUGGAUGUGAGGCACCACCGAGAUGUAUCGAUGUUUCCAUCCAACAAAAUGAAAGAUAAUGUGUCCAAUAACUCCUCGUAUUCUCCAAUCUCUCGAUCAUUAAGAUAUCACAACACAAGCACCUGUUGUUCCUUCCCACUGCUAUUGUUCUCCACUAGAAGAGUCGCAAAACUUGAUGUUUUUUUACCGUGUAAUUGCAUAAAUCUAUGGAAAGAAUUCUCUCAGUGCCUUUUUCUAACCAUUGAUCCUCCCAUAGUCUAACUCUAUUUCCCCCUACCAACCUUCCAUCGUAUAUACUCCUAAAAAUUUUCUUUCCCUUGGGUGAUUUUCUUCCACAAGCUUUUCCCAUGUGGC
rnacentral:lncRNA from 1 species